rnacentral:rRNA from 1 species
AAGGAGAAAAGGGCGUUUGGUGGAUCCCUUUGGGCCCCAAAGGGGGCGAUGAAGGACGUGAUACUCUCCCGAUGGCUGGGGGGAGCUGAAAAAAAAAGUUUUGAUCCGUAGAUCUCCGAAUGGGGAAACCCACUUUUAUGAGGGGUUUUUUACCCACCCAAAAGGGGGUGAUAAAUUUACAAAAAUUUUUAAAAAAUACUUUUAACUUGAAUAUAUAAAGUUUUAAGAGGGGCCCCCAGAGAACUGAAACAUCUAAGUCCCGGGAGGAAAGGAAACAACAGAUACUCCGUUAGUAGGGGAAAAACAAACCCGGGAUCAGCCCCCCGUAAGCAGAAUCGAGGGGAAAAAGCCCGAGCUAUAAAAACAGCCCCGUAUGCAAUGCAAAGGAUGUAUUAAAGGGGGGGACACGUGAAAUCCUGUCUGAACAUCGGAGGAAACCCUUUGAAGGCUAAGUACUACUUAUUGACCGAUAGCGGAGGGACCGUGAGGGGAAAAGGGGAAAAAACCCCGACGGGGGGGGGAAAUAGACCCGCCGGACGCCUGGAACCCGGGGCUUCCUUUAGGGAAAUGACGGGUACCUUUUGUAUAAUGGGUCAACGACUUGGGUCUAUCUAGCAAGCUUAAGCCGUUAGGUGUAGGCAUGGGGAAAACGAAAAACUUAAUGGGGGGCUUUAGUUUUUGAUGGAUCAGACCCGAAACCCGGGAUCUAGGCAUGGCCGGGAUGAAGGUGCGGGAACACGCACUGGGGGUCCGAACCCCCAUACGUUGAAAAGUAUCGGGUGAGCUGCCUAGGGGGGGAAAGGGCCCAAACAAACUGAGUAUUUUGGGUUUUCCAAGAAAUCUAUUUAGGUAGAGCGUUAACGAAUACCCCGGGGGGAGAGCACUGGAUGGGUAAUGGGGCCCCACAGGCUUUCUUUAUCCUAACCAAACUCCGAAUACCGGGGUAAUAUCUGGGAGACACAAAGGGGGAUGCUAACGUCCGGGGGGAGGGAAACAACCCCGACCUCCGGGUAAGGCCCCCAAUUCAUGGCUAAGUGGGAAAACAUGUGGGGGACCAAAAAAACCCGGGGUGUUGGCCAAAAGGGAAACAGCCAUCAUUUAAAAAAAAAGCCCUAACAGCUCACUGGUCUAGAUAAGUUGUCUUGCGGCGAAGAUGUAACGGGGUCAAGCCAUGAGCCGAAGCGGGGCACCGUGGGGGUGGUGCGGGGCGUUCCGUGAUAUAACUUUUUCGAUUUCUAAAGCAAUAAUUUGUUUAUUAGUCGGGGUGAGGGGUUUCUGUGGAAAAAAGGGGUGUAAAAGGGAUCCGGUGGGAGAUCGGAAGUGAGAAUGUUGACAUGGGUAGCGAUAAACAGGGUGGGGAGACCCUGUCGCCGAAAUCCCAAAGGGGUUUCCCGCCAAAGCUAAUCUGAGCGGGGAAGCCGACCCGGGGAGGGCCGAAAAAGGCGAUGGGGCCGGUUAAUAUUCCCGGGCCCGAAGGAUGUGACGGACACAAGUGUAGUAAGUUCUUAUUGGAUUGAACUUGCUGCUGGUGGGUUUUGAAAUAGCCCUUCAUUAAAGGGGUCGUACCCUAAACCAACACAGGGGGACAGUAGAGCAUACCAAGGGGGGCUUGGGGAGGAAGCAUUGGGAAAGGGAAAUCGGCAAAAUACCUCCCAAUUUUGCGGGGAAGGAGGCCCCAUUGGCAACUUGGGAGGGGGCACAAACCAGGGUUGGGGCUGUUUCAAAAAAAACAGGGUUUUUGCGAAGCCGCCAAAGGGGAUGUUUUAGGGUUUUGACGCCUGCCCGGUGCCGGAAGGGGUUUAAAAGGGGGGGGUGCAAGCACCGGAAUUUAAGCCCCCCAAAAAGGCGGCCCCUAACUAAACGGUCCCAAAGGAAACGAAACCGUCGGGGAAAAUUUCCCACCUGCACGAAUGGCGUAACGGCCCCCCCGUCUCCAAAAGCGGGCUCAGCCCUUUAAUUUCCCCUGAAGAUGCGGGGGACCCGCGGGCGACGGGAAAAACCCCGUGCACCUUUUCUAAGCUUCACACUGGCAUUGGGGGUUUGUCAUGUGCAGGGGUGGUAGGCUUUUAAGCAGAAACGCUAGUUUUUGUGGGCCGCCCUUGAGAUACCACUCUUUUACUCACUUAUUUCCCCCCCGCGAUCCGUUUCCGGAUCCGGGGCCGGGGUGGUGGGGGGAGUUUGACUGGGGCGGUCGCCUCCCCAAAAAAGGGAACAGGCGCGCGGGAAAGGGGGGCCCCAGAUUGGUCGGAAAUCAAUCGUAGGUGCAAGGGAGAAGCCCGCCUGACUGCGAGACUGACAAGUCGGGGGAAAGAACGGGCCGCCGAAAGGUCCGGGGGUCCCGCGUGGAAGGGGGGAUCGCUCAACAAAAAAAGGUACGCCGGGGAUAACAGGCUGAUACUGCCCAAAAGGGCCAUAUCGACGGCAGUGUUUGGCACCCUCGAUUGGGUCUCACAUCCCGGGUGGAGCAGGGGGCCCAAGGGGGGUUUGGCUGUUCGCCGAUUAAAGUGGUACGUGGACGGGGGUUUUGAACGUCGUGAGACAUUUUGGUCCCUAUCUGCCGUGGGUGUUUGGGGACUUUGGGGGAGCUGCCCCCUUUUGUACGGGAGGACCGGGGUGGACAUACCACUUUUGGGGGACCUUUGUCGUGCCAACGGCAGGGAGGGUAGCUACGUAUGGACAGGAUAAACCCCUGAAAGCAUCUAAGCCGGGGAAACCCCCCCAAAACAAGGUCUCCUUGAGGGGCCCUGGAAGACCACCACGUCGAUAAAUUUUUGGGUAUGUAAGCAUUCAAUAUGUUCAGUUUACCAGUCCCAAACGCCCGAUUGGCUUGAU